rnacentral:lncRNA from 1 species
CGGGGACCGGCCUCCGCCGCGGGCUCUGCCCGCUCGCCUGCUCGCCUGGUGGGGGAGAGGGGAGCGGGGCCGACACAGGACUGCAGUUGACAGCAGAUAACUGAAAGCUCGGAAAGCGAAACCGUGGAUAAGCAGGGGAACUGUGGCAUCCCAUUUAAAAUUGCUUCUGAAGAGAAGCAUGAGGUUACAUCUGUAAUCUCCCUGCAGCAGAGUCAACUGCAUAAGAAACCAAAAGACACACCUGCUCCAUGCCAGCCUAAGCCACCACAUAAAAAGUCAGACCAUCUGCUGGAAGAACCACAUGGAGAGGCCCUGAGUCAACAUGGAGAGGAAGAAGGACUUGACUGAAUCCAGCCUUCCAGCUGUCCCUACCAAGGUGCCAGGCAUGAGAAUGAAGCUGUCUUGAACUCUGAAGACCAGCUUAGCCACCAGAUGCCAAACACUGAGCAGGCUUUGUUCUCCACCCACAAACCAGAGGCUGUCUCAGCAGGAAGGAGUUGGAGUUGGAGAAAAAGGAGAAUUAAGAAUCUAUCUGGCGAUGUGGAUUAAAUAAACAACAAAUUGGCAGAUUGUUUUUAAAAGUUUCUGUGGGCCUCAAACAACACUUUCUGCAUUUUCCCCUCUCGCCCCCUACUCAUCACUCCCUGAAAGGUAAAAGCUGCUGAAACACAUCAAGAGCCAAAGGAAUUCAGAUUGCUGAAAGGUCAUCACUUUGAUAUGAUAAAUAUUAAGAGCAUUCCCAAAGGCAAAAUUUCCAUUGUAGAAGCACUGACACUUCUUAACAAUCAUAAACUUUAUCCAGAAACAUGGACUGCUGAGAAAAUAGCGCAAGAAUACCAAUUAGAACAGAAAGAUGUGAAUUCCCUUCUUAAAUAUUUUGUUACUUUUGAAGUCAAAAUCUUCCCUCCUGAAGACAAGAAAGCAAUACAAUCAAAAUGAAGAAAAUCACAAAAAUUUCCUAUGUGUACUCCUCAUCCCUCAUCCUGACUAUUUUCUCAUUUUUGGCAUAUUAAAUUAUGUUAAUUACCAAAUGUUUAAUGCUCUCAUUGUGAGAGCAUAGUCUUUUUUUUUUUUUUUUUUUUUUUUUUGAGACGGAGUCUCACUCUGUCACCCAGGCUGGAGUGCAGUGGCGUGAUCUCAGCUCACUGCAAGCUCCGCCUUCUGGGUUCACGCCAUUCUCCUGUCUCAGCCUCCCGAGUAGCUGGGACUACAGGCGCCCGCCACCACACCCAGCUCAUUUUUUUUUUUUUUGGUAUUUUUUAGUAGAGACAGGGUUACACCACGUUAGCCAGGAUGGUCUCGAUCUCCUGACUUUGUGGUCCACCCGCCUUGGCCUCCCAAAGUGCUAGGAUUACAGGUGUGAGCCACCGCGCCUGGCUGAGCGCAUACUCUUAAUAUAUAUUGAGCUCCCUGACUUUUCAAGAUUGCCAUGGAAUAUAUUUUGUUUUCUUUUAAUUUGGUUUAGGCAUAUUUUAUAUGUACAUGUCAGCAUGUCUAAUCAGUACAUCUGCACCUUUAUUAUAAGUAGAAGAGUUAAUUUGCUAUUUUAGGCACAUCAUACCAACUCUUAAAUUGGUCAGAUGACCCCUUGGGAAAUGUCCUGAAUCCCUCAUUUAAGUUUUACUUUCCAAGUUAGGUGUUUAGUUCAUUCUUCAUAUGUGAUAGUGAAAGUAAAAGCUUUCCUGACUCGUAAGGCUGACAUUUUCUUGUUAGGGAAAGAGACUCGAUAGCAAGGUAAACUAACAGUAUUUCCCAAAUAAAGGCACACAGGAGAAAAUAAUGAAUCAAUAGAAUCUAAUUAAAAUUACUACCCCAGGGAAUAAGAAGUAUUGAGGAUUUAUUUUAUUUUGAAUUGGUUUUAAGUAUGGAAUAAUCAUCUUUACAGUUAUAAAAAAAUUAGUGUUUACAAAAUGUUGGGCAUUUCUGCUUUGACAAACAAACAGGUAAGUCCCGUGGCCUUCAGAGGCAGGCAGCAGUAGAAACUUUCCAAAAAGUAACAAUUUCUCUGGAUUUAACAUGGAAAUAGAAAAAUUUAAAGAAUAAUUAAAUUAAAAAACCAUGGUAAAUGAAAUGUGGUGAUGAUAUACAGUUUCGGAUGUUAAUGCUAGUUGAAAGAGAGAAAAAAUAUCAAGUAGAAGCAGAGGACAGGAUCAUUGGAAGGGACCUGAGAAAUUGCCGCUUCAUCCAUUUUAGCACACUUAUUAGCAUGGCAUGUACCAAUAUUAGGAAAUUGAGUGACAGUGUGUGAGUUUAGCUCUGCCUAAUAUAUUACUGCUUGUGGGAUCUUUGGGAGACUGUAUCCUCUUUGAGAUUGAAUUUCUUCUAUAAAAUGAGCAUAAUACUACCUUACUUAAAUUUAAGGGUCAUCAUGAAGAUAAAUGUACUACAUUUAUAAACAGUAAAGUACUACAAAGGACCAAGCAAAUACGAAUUAUUUUUUGCAGUGGAGAAACAAGCGCCCGGUGAGAAUAUAUGACCUAAGGUUCUGUAGUUUAUGACCUAACCAGGCCCAGAAUGAAGUUUUUCAUAUCCUAGUAGUGUGUUUUUUCUGUUUUGACAAAAAACAGCAUACCUCAGAGAAGGAAAAAAGUGUGAAUUGUGGGUAUAUUGGGGUUAUCAGUGUGCUUCUGAGGGAAGACAGGCAUCACUACUUCCCAGAGAUGCCCUGGAAAUGAUAUAGAAGAUGCUGAAGAAUUCAACGUGAUAACAGAAUGAGGCAUUUGUAGUAAUGCUGAGAACAGAAAAAUGGACUAAGUGGAAAAUUUGUUUGCAUGUCUUUGAAUGUAGAUUUGUUAUGUGAACAAACUACCUAGUUUAUUUUUAGUUCAAUACAAUAAUUGUUUUAAGAAAACAUGAAAUAACUACUCAAUAUAAAAUGCAUUUUAAAACUCCUAUUAAAAAAGAUCACAGGAAAAUUGCUUGAUUUCUCCAUCAGUUAAAUUUACCACCGUGCACACGUUAUGUGGUUAAAAAUCUGAUUGUUUUCCUCCCCCACUCGAUACCAAAUGCAAGUACAUUUCCUGUUCCUUCCAAGGCCAUAACAAUUUGGUGCCUAAUCUAAAAUCUUUGAAACUUUGCCUAAUUUAAAUUUGGUGGCGAGGCUCUAUGGAAAUUCCCCUUCAGACUGAUAGUUGACAGAAGGCCAGGCAUUCAGAAGAAUCACGCAGGGAAGAUCGUGUUUGUUCUAAAAAGGCAAACCUUCCUACUCAGAAAAGAUUUUUUUUUUCCUGCCAGGAAAAUUGAGAACAACAGAUUGUAGAACUUCAUUGUAGCUCAUGGACUGAAAAGGCAAAGUCAUGGAAAGGAGGGAGAAGGGGCAUUGUGGAAUUCCCAUGUGUGUUAAUUUUUUCUUAGGAGUGCUAAAAAAAACCUCUCGGCCUCUUCCCAAGAACUCUUGAUAAUGAAAAUAUCACCAUAGUGCUCAAAAUGGAACAGUAAUUAAUGGAAGUGGUAUUUUGGGGGAGUACAGAUGACUUGGAAUCCAACAACGAGAUGUUAAGCAACAUUUUCCUGGAUCCCACAGUCUAGUCCUAUAAUGGAAGGCAAUAUGCCCAGUGAUUUUUUUUUUUCAUCUACACAAGGGAUUCUACGUGUAGAAAACCUGUUAGCUAUUUCCAUUAGCUUCCACUUAUUAACACUGUGGUUUACCAGAACAUUCUAAACCUCUCAUGUUGGGCAAGUAUUUCAUUCUAUAAAACUUUUAAACCAGAACUAUGACAAUGAGCAGGGAACCACUUUUCUUUUUCACUUCCCAGGUGGAGGUCUGAAUUAGCAGUUAAAUGGCCAGAAGGCAGGGAAGAAAAGGGAAACACCAACUCCAAAUAUCUGACCUGCCAGAAAAACUGACCCUAAGUAGUAAAUGACCCAGCAUCAUUCCAUUUGGUUUCUAUCAUUAAAAUUAGUGCCUGGCCUGAGCCAACAGGUGGAGGCUGCAGUGAGCCAUGAUUGCACCAGUGCACUCCAGCCUGGGUGACAAAGCAAGACCCUGUCUCAAACAAACAAAGAAACAAACAAACAAACAAAAAUAGUGCUUGGACAACUUAUCUUGUGGGUAGAGCAUAAAAGUCUGCAUGGAACACUCAUUCUCCUCACUGAGUAGGGAAUGCCCAACCCCUCACUCAUUCAGGAAUUCAUUUUCAUCCCAGACUCCCUGAUGUUCUCAUCUCUUGCUCACCAAAAACGGACAGGACUGAAGUUUUAUUGAGGUCCUAAGCAUUAUUACUAUUGGUUUUUUUUUUUUUGUUUGUUUGUUUUUUGUUUUUUUGAGACGGAGUCUUACUCCGUUGCCCAGGCUGGAGCAGAGUGGCAUGAUCUUGGCUCACUGCAACCUCCGCCUCCGGGUUUCAAGUGAUUCUCCUGCCUCAGUUCCCAAGUAGCUGGGAUUACAAGAGCCUACCACCACGACUGGCUAAUUUUUAUAUUUUUUAGUAGAGACAGCGUUUCGCCAUGUUGGUCUUGAACUCCUGAUCUCAGAUGAUCCGCCUGCCCAGCAUUUAUUUUCUAUAUGAAACUUUCCCAACCAGGGUCUUGUAAGAGUAGUCUUUGGUUUGAACCCCAUUCUGACAUUUUGACAUGUGGUGUCUCCACUGUUGUCAGAGAGUAAAUUAACAACAGUUUCUAAGCACAAAAUCAUUAUAAACUUAUCACUUUUGUAAAUGUGUCACAGCAACACUGACUGUUCUAAGAGAGGGUAAAUUCCACAGAAGGGAAGCAGACAGGUAGCAUCAUUGCACAGCUCACUGGCAAAAGAAGUGCAUCGGCUGCUGUCUCCUCCUCUACUCCCCUGGGAUCUGAGUGUGGGCAUCAAAUACAGGAUGAACCCCCCUCAACCCCCCUCAACCCCCCUGCUCCUGCAAGAACAACAAUAAAAGGCAAUAAAAUUCCAAGGCCAUAGCUUCCCUCCAGCCUCUCCCACACCUCCACUCUCAGCCUCGUGGUUUGCCACACCCUCCCGUGUCUCUGAGGCCUUGGUGCCAACUGCACUUUAUGGAGGAGAAGGGGGUGGUAAAUAGUUAAAGAGCAGUUACUAGGUCUUGGCAAUUUGGAUGUAAUCUCUUUAAGUCAUUCAAACAACUUGUUUUUAAAACACCCAGUGUUUGCCUGUAAUCUCAGUGUUUUGGGAGGCUGAGGCAGGAGGAUCGCUUGAAGCCAGGAGUUUGAGACCAGCCUGAGCAACAUCGUGGAACCCUAUCCCGACAAAAAAAUUUUAAAAAAUUUAAAAAUUAGGCAUGGUAGUGUGCCUGUAGUCCUAGCUACUCUGGAGGCUAAGGUGAGAGGAUCCCUUGAGGCCAGGUAUUCAAGGCUACAGGGAGUUAUGACUGCACACCAGCCUGGGUGACAGAGUGAGACCCUGUCUCUUAAAAACCAAACCAAACCAAACCAAAACACAGUAUUUACCCAUGGAGUAAUGUGACGGGUAAGGCAGAUGUGGUCUGUCUUAGGAAAGGUCUAAGAAAGAUAUAAAUAGUCCUGGCUCCACAGUGGAAAUCCAACUCUGUUGACGUGGGUGUACUUCCAGACCAUUUUCCCUUUGGACAAUCAUAGCAGGAAACAUUCACAUAAUGAUGGCAUCCUAAAGGACAAUGCUAUCACAAGAACGAACCACAGAAGUUCUCCAGGGGGGGCCUGGAAGCCAAGGCAGGCAUAGUCUUGGGUCUGCCACAAACCCAACAUCUUGGCUCAGAGACUGUCUUGACCCUCAAAUUCCAGCUCCAGGUCUCCAAGUCACCCAGCUUCCCUUGCCCUCUGAGGAGGGCUGUCCUGG